rnacentral:lncRNA from 1 species
CAAAAUGAGAAAACACAUGUACUGAAUGUAACUUAUUACAUUCGUGACUGUAUUAGAAAUAUGAAAAUUUGAGAAUGUUGACAUAACUGAAACAAACCUUCUCACACGUCGUACUUGAGGCAACAAGGAACAAGCUUCUUCCUUAUCCUGACUUCGACCUUUCCUGCAUACAAUUUUUUUCUAAGGAUGAGUAAAAUUUGAACCAAUUGUACUACAAGGUAAUACCAUUUGUUGUAUACAAGAGUUAUGUAUCAGCUUUUAUAUGAGCCAAAAUCUGACGGAUAUCUUGAAUAUUUUGAUAUGGGGAGCAUGUUAUGAAAUCGAAAGAAAGGAUGGACAUACAAAGAUCACAAUAAAACGAAGCCUCAUAACUUCAAACUAGACAAGAAAAAAAAGGCUAAAUGCAUGGGCACAUGGCAUCAUACAAUUGUUCGAUAACUAUAUUUACUAUAACUGAAAAAGAACAUUUAAUCGGGGAGCGUAGGGUCAAGGUCCCAAUCGGAAUUAGAUCACAAUCCAGUGCCACUGCCAGAUCGUAGCUUUGAAGACUAUUUUUGAGGCUUAAAUCCAUAUUCCUGUUUACCUUUCACUCUAGAAGGUAUCAACAAUUUUACCUGGAGUAUGCGGCUGCCCACAGUAGAAGCACAAGUGUGUAUUUACGUCUGUCAGGGAAGAGGGG